CCUCACCCAGGAGGCAUCCUAAUCAGAUACCCAAACCAUCUCAACUCCUUUUGACGUGGAGGAGUAGUGGCUCUACACUGAGCGGCCAGCCACCCUUCAGAGAAAGACCAUUUCUGCCGCUUGUAUCUGCAGUUUAGUUCUUAUGGUCACUGAUCGGAGGUGAGGGUGGGAUCGUAGAUUGGCGGGUAAAUUGACAGCUUCAUUUUUGUGCUCAGCUCUCUGUCUCUCACCAUGACAGACUGGUACAGCCAGUCACCACCCCGAUGCGUUUGUCGGUCUCUCAGUUUCCUCUCCACUCACUCGUGAACAAGACCCUAAAACCUGCUCUCAUUGGUGAAAAAUACAGGGCGCCAGUGGUGAACCUGCCAGUUCUGGCAUUUUAUGGCAAAUUCGGGCCCUCAGACCAUGAAGUCUGUUUCUGAUUGUUUGGUUAGAGACAUUCACACCAGUGGCCUGCUCGAGAUCAUUUUGUAGCCUAGCAGUGCUCAUCUUGUUCCUCCUUGCUCAAAGGAGCAGAUACCGGCCACGCUGAUGGGUUAAGGACCUUCUAAAAUCCUGUCGAGCUCUCUCAGAGUAACUAUCUGUCCUAGCAUCUCCUCUAUGCUCUUGAAACUGUGCUGGGAGAGACGGAAAACCUUCUGGACUAUCUGUGUGACCUCUGUAGGGUUCAGGCAUCCCAUCACGCUACCAGUAAUGACACUGGCCCCAGUCCAAUGCAAAACUAGCAAAAAACAGAAAAGAUAAGGAGGGAAAAAGGUCAGUGUCCUCCAGCUGUACAACCAUUCCUUUGUGUCUCAUUGUUGCCCCUCUAGUGCAUUGUGGAUUUCAUUAACACCAAAGCAGCUGAGAAUGACUAACAACCUCCUCUGCUACUUUCCUGACCACAACAAUGUCCCACGAGUUUAACUGUCUUGAUGCUGUACUCGGAUUAAAAAGGGUUUUUUGCUGUUGUACUUAUACAGUCUUUUCUUUCUUUCACAGAAACCUUGCAGGGCGAAAGUGCUGAAAAAAAAGAGCGCAUCCUACAUAUUAUAAUAGGUUUCCUUGUCUUCACCCACUUCCUUUGGCUGGUGGCUUUUUACAUGUACACGCAGAGGCUUCAAAGGAAUUAUGAG